UAUCUUUGCAGUUCAUUGAGCUCUAUUAUAUGGUUCAAAGCCAUCCUUGUCUUCGUUACAGGGGUGAAGCCUGUAAAGUUCCAAACCUGCAAAUUGCUCCAUGUGGGAGGGAGAGCCUAGGAAAUUGGGAAGUGAAGAGAAGAAUCCUCCAUAGCAUGCCAGAGGCCUUGGUGGCUGCAGACUAUCUAUGCUUUCUUUAGCAUAGUGUAAAUGAGGGCAGACACACUAUAGAUAUAAAAACCUAAGCAACCAUAAGUGGAAGUUUAUUUCAAGAAGCCAUGAUUCUGGAAGGUGCUGAAAUGACAUAAAAUUCAAGACUUUGGAAUAGUUCAAAAUCGGGCUUCCUGGAAAUAAUGGCAACUCAUAUUGAAGUCUGCAUCAAAACUCAGUGAUGAAUUCUGGAAGACAUGUAAAAAUCUGGAAACUUUGCACCAGGCUCUGGAAGCAGCACGAACUGACAACAGUCGCCUCCAUGAGGAAAGUGAGUUAGUGGUUGCAAAUGUUAAUCAGUGGAUCAAAGAACAAAAAUCCCUCAGCCUCUAUUGAUUGCAGUGCCUUCACAGAACACUGCAAUGCAAACCUAGUCCAACAUACCUUCAUGGACCAUUCCAAUAUGAAGCAUUUGCAUGAUGAACUUAUGGUUGAAGUUCUGGACAGGGCCACCAAGUAGUCCAGUAUCAAAAACAGAAGGACCGAUGGCUAGAGCAAAGGCAUGGCAAGAGACAAGGCUGAGACUGGUUGCACAGCUUGAGGACAGGGUUCAGUGUGGGAGCAGGCACUUGCUCCACAGUUCCUAGAACAGGAAAGGUGGCUAAGAAAGGAAGACAGAGCUCAGCAGAAAGAACUGUUUGAGUGGCUGAUAUCAAUUAUGUCUGCAAGAUUACCUGCUUCUGCUGCAUCACCCACAACAUAGCCUGCCUGGUAUUUUGGGAUUCAGUCCAGAAACAGCUUGGAAAACUUCAUGGCUGGGUAGCCCAUUCAAUCGGACUCCAUGACUGGCUGGGCAGGGCAACUUUGCCCCAUGCUGUCCUCCAUAUUUGCCUCCUACUCUGUGGAUGCUUCUACCCUCUCCCAUCAUGUCAAGUGCACAGCAAAUGGAGAAAGAAGGGAAAGGAGAAUGGGGAAGGGAGGCAAGGAAUGUGCAAUGGUAGGGGGUUUCCAUCUUGUACUUGGUUUCGCUGUUUACACUUGUUCAGGCACUUUUUGUUUGUUUUGUUUUUUCUGUUAGGUUGUGUUGUUACUGGUGUUUUAGUGUGAUAAUCACAGAUGGCCUGCCUAGCCAUGGUUGAAUGUUGUACUUUUUCUAAUACUUAUUUAUAAGUAAAGCUUUUUAUGUAUUGCUAUCACUUCCUAUAUCAUAAGUGUAUUUAAAAUAAUAAAAGUAAACAAAUGAUCUGGAACAAUUAGAAAUUAGUAUGCAAACCCUAUUCCUCUAUACAGUUAGAUACCUCAGUCCACACACCAAUCACUUCUUUAUAUGAAUCCAUACUGUAAAUCCCCACCACCACCACAUAUUUCAUAAAUGGCCAUAUCAUUCAUAAGUAUAUUGCAUGGCAAUAAAGCCCCCUCCCCAAUGAACUGAACCUGCUUCCCAAAUUAAUGAUCCCCAGACCCAGCUCCCACAGGUAUGUUAUUAAAGAUAUUCACCCCCUCUUUCAUUGGGCCAUGCAAGUCCAUAAUGUGGGGGCACAAAGCAUCUCUGACUUCUGUGGCCCUGGUGCAUCCAGCUCCAGCUAUGGUAGAUGCACUUUCUAACUGAGUGUAUCAAUUCAGUGACCCCUCACUGUCAUAGGUGCAUUCAGGGGGAAAUGGCUCACCUCUGGCUUCAUAAAGAUUGUGAAGAGUACAGCAAGCUGCAGUAAUUCAGACAGCAGUGAUGACACUGGCAUCCAAACAUGUCCAUAAAUAUCUCAAAUGAGAUUUCAGUCUGCCAAAAGCACAUUCAACAACCGGUCUACACCUGCUGAGAGCAUAAUUAAACUGUCUUUUGCCAGGGCCUCUGAAAUUAGGUUUCACAAGCCCACGCAAAAGGAAGUACAUGGGAUCCCCCAGUUACUGCUGGGGACAGUAACUCCAUUUAUAACAAUUUAAUUUGAUCAGAUUAGUCUUCCAGCCUGUCCAUGAAUGUAGACAUCUGCUCAGCAAAAAACCCUGGCAUAAUGAACUUUCCCAGUGCAGUCCAUGUUUAUAUAUAUAUAAAUGGAUCUCUGUGGUUUAUGGGGACCUGUAUAAGAAUGGAGUAGUACCUUUUGCAGUUUAUGUACCAUGUGUUCCUUGAAGAGGGGGAACUAUAGGCACAUGAGUCCCACCAAGGGCCCCAGCACAGUCUGGAAACCCUAUUCUCACAAAGCUAGCAGUUACUUCAGGAAUAUCCUUUAUGCCUGCCACCUUAGGGUAAACUGCACCCCUGAUUGCCUCAGAAACUUCCAGUACCACUUUACCCAGAGGCAACUUCUCAACCCCAAACUGAUUAGCAACAGACCCAUAGAAGUCAAGGGUAGCCAGCUUCCAGACAGCUAUAGCAGCCCACUUCUGGACUGGCAAGGGUAUCCUCAUGCAUGUGUCAUUAUGCUGGAGGGUUGGGGCAAGCUGCGCAGAAAGCACCAGAAAUGUAACUUUCUUCCUGUGAACAUUCUGGUUGCACUGCUGGUCAUCUCAGGUCGGUGUGAUGAUGUGAUCCCACCAAUCUAUGCUUCUGGCCCUGCAACAUAUCAAUUUGCAGUGUUAGUGCUCGCUUAGUGGGGGUUUGAUGGAGUAGUACCAUUCUAUUUACUUAUUCACUCAUCUGUUCAUUCUUCCUGUUUUUGUUUUAUUUAAUAUAUCUUUUUGUUCUGUUUACUAUUCUUUUACUCUGUGAUCUGUGGAGGUAAUUAAAAAAAUUAAGAAUGCUAAAUCAAUAUUACCAAUGUGGUUGAAUUUUGCUUAUGAUAUUAACUGUCUUUUAAAGGUUUAUACUUCAUAUACAUUGUUGUCUUUUUAUUUGGAAAGUCAUUUAAAUGUCUUCAAAGAACUGCUGAAUUGUUUAUUGAUCUCAUAAUUAUAUAUUUCUUGGUACUUCUGAUGACUUUCUCUUUGCGUUACAUUAUUUUAAAAUAAUGUAAUAAAAUAUUAAAGAAAAAAUGAAAAUAGAGGCCUAAGAAUAGAUCCCUGAGGCUCCUCCAUUUGAAAAGCUCCUAUAUCAGAGUGGUUGUGUACAAUUCCUCAAGUAAUCUGCAAACCUCUUCAUGGAGUCUCCUAUGAGCCUACAGUCUCUGAGUAUUGGCGUAUUUAUGGUUGAUAAAAAUUGCUCCUGCAACUAUGUUCCUCAUCUAUUGAAUUAGAGAUGUCAUUGGUGAUGUUAAGUCGAGAGCUGUAUCGGUAAAAUGAGAAGCUCUGAAGUUUGACUAUGUUGUAAUCAGAAGAGUCUACAACUGCAGGUGUUUGAGAUCUGUGAACAUGAUCUUUUUCAAGUAUUUUUUGUCAAACCAGAAUGUGUGUCUAUCAAUACUGUUUGUUUUUGUUUUUUCACUUUUUCCUUUAGAUCAGGAACUGUUAUGGCCCUCUUCCAAACAGAUGAAAGAUCUUGCUUGAAAAUGGGAGCAAUAAUUUAAAAAUAUCAGUUAGUGCCUUAAUUAUUGAUAAUGAAGCCAGUUUAAAGAACUUCAGAACUCUAAUCAUAUGGAGUACUGUCAUGGAUGGAUAUAAACUGUUCAAGAAGGACAGGCAGGGCAGAAAAGGUGGGGGAGUUGCAUUGUAUGUAAGAGAGUAGUAUGACUGCUCAGAGCUCCAGUAUGAAACUGGAGAAA